rnacentral:rRNA from 1 species
CACGUAGGGUGCGAGCGUUGUCCGGAAUUAUUGGGCGUAAAGAGCUCGUAGGUGGUUUGUCGCGUUGUUCGUGAAAACUCACAGCUCAACUGUGGGCGUGCGGGCGAUACGGGCAGACUAGAGUACUGCAGGGGAGACUGGAAUUCCUGGUGUAGCGGUGAAAUGCGCAGAUAUCAGGAGGAACACCGGUGGCGAAGGCGGGUCUCUGGGCCGAUACUGACGCUGAGGGGCGAAAGCGUGGGGAGCGAACAGG